UACGUAGGGUGCGAGCGUUGUCCGGAAUUAUUGGGCGUAAAGAGCUCGUAGGCGGCUUGUCGCGUCGGAUGUGAAAGCCCGGGGCUUAACUCCGGGUCUGCAUUCGAUACGGGCAGGCUAGAGUUCGGUAGGGGAGAUCGGAAUUCCUGGUGUAGCGGUGAAAUGCGCAGAUAUCAGGAGGAACACCGGUGGCGAAGGCGGAUCUCUGGGCCGUAACUGACGCUGAGGAGCGAAAGCGUGGGGAGCGAACAGG
rnacentral:rRNA from 1 species